AGACGCCAGGAACGCCCCGUGAGUGAGGAGAGGAGAGCGUGGGAGUCACGCGGAGAAGCCAGACCCAGACGCCGACCGGGCACUGGUGGCGCUGCCGGGGUCCCGGGGGUUCCUGGACCCCCUACCCCAGGCCCCUCCAAAGCAACUGGGGUAAACCAGACGCACUGUGAGGCCAGCGCAGCUGCUGGACACGGUCCCCGGCGCCGCUCCAACCAGACCGCGACCGCUAAGCCCCUCCUUUCGAGAAACUCUGGGGCCGCCCCUGGAAGUGGCGGGGCGAAGGGACCGGAGGAGGGACCGGAGGAGCGAGGCGCGCGGCGCAGCGAUGGAGCCGGUCAGCACGGGCGCGGAGGCCGGCAUGGAGGGCGCGGGAGGUGACCCGUACCGGCGACCUGCGCGGCGCACGCAGUGGCUGCUGAGCGCCCUGGCGCACCACUACGGGCUGGACCGCGGCGUGGAGAACGAGAUCGUGGUGCUGGCCACCGGCCUGGACCAGUACCUGCAGGAGGUCUUCCACCACCUGGACUGCCGCGGCGCCGGCCGUCUGCCCCGCGCCGACUUCCGAGCGCUCUGCGCUGUGCUGGGGCUGCGCGCGGAGGGGGCCACCACGGCCGGGCAGGCAGCAGGUGACGGGAACUCCAGAGAUGUGACCCCCGGGGAUGCGGCCGCUGAGUUGGCCACGGACGGGGACUCAGAUACCGAUGAAGAGGCGCGCCUGGCGCUGCGCGCCGAGCCGCCGGAGCUCACCUUCCGCCAGUUCCACGCGCGCCUCUGUGGCUACUUCGGCACCCGUGCGGGGCCCCGGCUGCCCCGCGGCGCUCUCAGCGAGCACAUCGAGACGCAGAUCCGCCUGCGCCGUCCGCGCCGCCGCCGCCGCCCGCCCUGCGCGCCUGGCCCCGACAGCGGUCCUGACUGUGAGCGCGUUGCGCGGCUGGAGGAGGAGAAUAGCAGCUUGCGCGAGUUGGUGGAGGACCUGCGCGCCGCGCUGCAGAGCAGUGAUGCGCGCUGCCUAGCACUGCAGGUCGGACUCUGGAAGAGCCAGGCGAGCACCCACGAGAUGGGGCACGGCGGGCCGGAGGCUGCGGUGCGGGAGCUGCGUCAGGCGCAGGGCGCCCUGGCUGCGGCGGAGGCCCGCGCUGGGCGGCUGCGCCGUGGCCAGGCCGAGGUGCGGCGGCGCGCGGAGGAGGCCCGGCAGGUGGUGCUGCGCAGCCUGCACCGCGUGCGAGAGCUGGAGGCGCUGGCGCAACAGGUGCCCGGCUUGCAGCGCUGGGUGCGGCGGCUGGAGGCGGAGCUGCAACGCUACAGGUGCUCUGCAGAUGUGUCUUUGGGGAGAAAACAGAGCAAUGACUGAACUCCCCCUGAGAAUGACAGCUUGAAGCCAUUUGGUUAGAAUAAAUGACCCAACAAACACCUUUCCAGCAUCUCCCAGUGUUCAAAGCACUUUCACAGAUACUGACUCACGCUGAUCUUCUCAUCUUCCCUCUAAGGUCCCAUCGCCAAAUAAGAUCACAUUAUGAGGAGCUCUGGGGGUCUGGACAUCAACAUAUGAAUUGGGGAGACACAACCAGCCCAUCACAGGAGACUUCUCUGAGAUGUGACCCUGGAAUUGAGGCCUGAGUGGCAAGGUGGGGCCAUGACUUGUGUGAUCCAGGGCGGAGGUGACUCCCAUAGCAAAAUCACAGGGCUGGGCACAAGCUUGGCUUGUCUGCACUGCCUGCACGGGGACGAGCAGGUUGGAGCCAGCCUGGAUGCCGAGGGGCCAGUGAGGAGGGGCCAGUGAGGAGGAGCAGGUGAAGAGCCCUCCUCACCUGUACACACGGAGUCCUGCUAAGUCUCAGCUCCAAGUGGCUCAGACCCACCUGCUACUCUCCAGUCGCACCCACCACCCAGCCCAGCCCCAGCACCACUCCUGGACAGCUGUCCUAGCCUCCUGACUGGUGUCCCAGCUCCAUCAGAACCACGGACCACACAGCAUCAGGUUAAUCUUUUCAACACCCAGAUCCCACCUCGGGCUCGCCCACUCACAACUCUCCUGUGACCUCCUCUGGUGACCAUCAUGACUGUGAGUGACCAGGCCCUUUCCCAUCCUCUCCUGCAGCCACACUGACCCUCCAGGGCUCCCCUUCUCAGGCCCUUUGGGCAUACGGCUCCCUCCACCAUCCCCAAGCCUACUCCUGACCAAUCCACAUUCACCCUUCAGGUCUUGCCAGACCCCAACUCUUUAGGGAGGCCCCACCUCCAUCUACAGCCUCUUCCUAACGUCUUUCACGGCCCCUGGACUUUUCUGUCCUUCAUGUAUUUUUGUGAUGACUUCAUUGAGGUCUGCUCCUUCGGGGGGGGAGGUUGCGGGGUAAGCUCUGUGAGGUCAGGGGCCAUGCCAUUGCUAAGGACAGUGGCUGGCUCAAUACUUCAUCCUUCGGUGAAUUAAAGAACCAAGUCAGCAGCUUGGGCUGGCAGGGCCUUAGAAGUCACCCAGCCCAGGCUGACACCCUGCACGGCGCCCCCGAGAGCUGAGUGUCCGUGUCUGCUCGCACACUCCUGUUGCACCCUUCCCACCGCCAUCCCCUGCUCAGUAAAGUUGGGGGGGUUCCCGAAUUCAGGUAGGGACCAGAGAGGAGUCACAGAGGACCCCUGAGGACUGUCCCCCCACCCCUUGUGAUUUAUUUUCCGCCCUUCCUCUGCUGCAUCCCGCCCCCCUACCCCAAGCUGUUCUUCCUGCUGUUGUUCUCUUGUUUUCACAUGUUGCUCUCUGUUUCCUGUAAGGCUGCUUCACUCAGGAAACGCCAUGCAGCAAAGGAAGCCGCUGUGUGCGAACCUCCAGGACCUCCCAGAGUAGGUGCUGCAGCGUGGCCGUGGCCUGAUGGCCCAAAGUAGCCUGGCUGGGUUCUGAGGGACCUGUCAGCUCUGCAGCUUCCUGAGACUUGCUGAGUCACUGAGCGGCUCAGAGCAUAGGAAGCAGAGAGAAAAAGACAGCAGUGACAUUUUUCAUCUAUUCCAGAAUAAACUGAGCCCAGGCGGUGUAAUGGGCUUUUGAUGCGUC